rnacentral:rRNA from 1 species
UUCGCCCUUAGAGUUUGAUCCUGGCUCAGGACGAACGCUGGCGGCGCGCCUAACACAUGCAAGUCGAACGAGCGAGAGAGAGCUUGCUUUCUCGAGCGAGUGGCGAACGGGUGAGUAACGCGUGAGGAACCUGCCUCAAAGAGGGGGACAACAGUUGGAAACGACUGCUAAUACCGCAUAAGCCCACGGCUCGGCAUCGAGCAGAGGGAAAAGGAGCAAUCCGCUUUGAGAUGGCCUCGCGUCCGAUUAGCUAGUUGGUGAGGUAAUGGCCCACCAAGGCAACGAUCGGUAGCCGGACUGAGAGGUUGAACGGCCACAUUGGGACUGAGACACGGCCCAGACUCCUACGGGAGGCAGCAGUGGGGAAUAUUGCACAAUGGGGGAAACCCUGAUGCAGCGACGCCGCGUGGAGGAAGAAGGUCUUCGGAUUGUAAACUCCUGUUGUUGAGGAAGAUAAUGACGGUACUCAACAAGGAAGUGACGGCUAACUACGUGCCAGCAGCCGCGGUAAAACGUAGGUCACAAGCGUUGUCCGGAAUUACUGGGUGUAAAGGGAGCGCAGGCGGGAAGACAAGUUGGAAGUGAAAUCUAUGGGCUCAACCCAUAAACUGCUUUCAAAACUGUUUUUCUUGGGUAGUGCAGAGGUAGGCGGAAUUCCCGGUGUAGCGGUGGAAUGCGUAGAUAUCGGGAGGAACACCAGUGGCGAAGGCGGCCUACUGGGCACCAACUGACGCUGAGGCUCGAAAGUGUGGGUAGCAAACAGGAUUAGAUACCCUGGUAGUCCACACCGUAAACGAUGAUUACUAGGUGUUGGAGGAUUGACCCCUUCAGUGCCGCAGUUAACACAAUAAGUAAUCCACCUGGGGAGUACGACCGCAAGGUUGAAACUCAAAGGAAUUGACGGGGGCCCGCACAAGCAGUGGAGUAUGUGGUUUAACUCGACGCAACGCGAAGAACCUUACCAAGUCUUGACAUCCUGCGACGCACAUAGAAAUAUGUGUUUCCUUCAGGACGCAGAGACAGGUGGUGCAUGGUUGUCGUCAGCUCGUGUCGUGAGAUGUUGGGUUAAGUCCCGCAACGAGCGCAACCCUUACUGUCAGUUACUACGCAAGAGGACUCUGGCAGGACUGCCGUUGACAAAACGGAGGAAGGUGGGGAUGACGUCAAAUCAUCAUGCCCUUUAUGACUUGGGCUACACACGUACUACAAUGGCGUUAAACAAAGAGAAGCAAGACCGCGAGGUGGAGCAAAACUCAGAAACAACGUCCCAGUUCGGACUGCAGGCUGCAACUCGCCUGCACGAAGUCGGAAUUGCUAGUAAUCGUGGAUCAGCAUGCCACGGUGAAUACGUUCCCGGGCCUUGCACACACCGCCCGUCA